UACGUAGGGUGCGAGCGUUAAUCGGAAUUACUGGGCGUAAAGCGUGCGCAGGCGGUUUUGUAAGCCAGAUGUGAAAUCCCCGGGCUUAACCUGGGAAUUGCGCUUGUGACUGGCGUGCUGGAGUGUGGCAGAGGGAGGUGGAAUUCCACGUGUAGCAGUGAAAUGCGUAGAGAUGUGGAGGAACACCGAUGGCGAAGGCAGCCUCCUGGGCCAGCACUGACGCUCAUGCACGAAAGCGUGGGGAGCAAACAGG
rnacentral:rRNA from 1 species